rnacentral:rRNA from 1 species
GCCAUUUUCACAUUGUUGUUUUCGGAGGGUGGGGGAUACCCUGCAAGUCAAAGAUGAAGCCCAGCUUGCUGGGUGGAUUAGUGGCGAACGGGUGAGUAACACGUGAGUAACCUGCCCUUGACUCUGGGAUAAGCCUGGGAAACUGGGUCUAAUACCGGAUAGGAACGUCCACCGCAUGGUGGUUGUUGGAAAGAUUUAUCGGUCAUGGAUGGACUCGCGGCCUAUCAGCUUGUUGGUGAGGUAAUGGCUCACCAAGGCGACGACGGGUAGCCGGCCUGAGAGGGUGACCGGCCACACUGGGACUGAGACACGGCCCAGACUCCUACGGGAGGCAGCAGUGGGGAAUAUUGCACAAUGGGCGAAAGCCUGAUGCAGCGACGCCGCGUGAGGGAUGACGGCCUUCGGGUUGUAAACCUCUUUCAGUAGGGAAGAAGCGAAAGUGACGGUACCUGCAGAAGAAGCACCGGCUAACUACGUGCCAGCAGCCGCGGUAAUACGUAGGGUGCGAGCGUUAUCCGGAAUUAUUGGGCGUAAAGAGCUCGUAGGCGGUUUGUCGCGUCUGUCGUGAAAGUCCGGGGCUUAACCCCGGAUCUGCGGUGGGUACGGGCAGACUAGAGUGCAGUAGGGGAGACUGGAAUUCCUGGUGUAGCGGUGGAAUGCGCAGAUAUCAGGAGGAACACCGAUGGCGAAGGCAGGUCUCUGGGCUGUAACUGACGCUGAGGAGCGAAAGCAUGGGGAGCGAACAGGAUUAGAUACCCUGGUAGUCCAUGCCGUAAACGUUGGGCACUAGGUGUGGGGACCAUUCCACGGUUUCCGCGCCGCAGCUAACGCAUUAAGUGCCCCGCCUGGGGAGUACGGCCGCAAGGCUAAAACUCAAAGGAAUUUAAGGGAAUAA